CAGGCUCAUCAGAUGAAAGU
rnacentral:miRNA from 7 species